rnacentral:antisense_RNA from 1 species
CUUGAUCGACCCCAGCCACAGCGGGCGAUCCUCCGGCCGGCCCUGGCCGUACGUGGCGAGAAGUGCCUGCGCCUC